rnacentral:rRNA from 1 species
UAAAUAGCCGCUAAUAGUGCUAAGGUAGUAUGAUAAUUUGUCUUUUAAAUAAAGACCAAAACAAAAGAUUUAACAUUAUAAUCUAUUUAUUAUUUUUAAUUAUUUAAAUUUUUCUAAACGUAAAAAAACUUUUAUUUCAAAAAAAGACGAAAAGACCCUAUUGAACUUAACUUCAGUUUAACUGGGGUAGUAAAUUAAUUAUUAUUUUAAUUAAUAAUCAAACAUUAAAUAUCUAAACAAUUAAUAAUUCAGUUACCAUAGGGAUAACAGCGCAAUUAUAUUUUAAAGAUCUAAUAUUAAAUAUAGAUUACGACCUCGAUGUUGAAUUAAUAUCCUUUACUAAAGCAAAUUUUAUAAGAGGAAGUCUGUUCGACUUUUAAAAAAUUACAUGAUUUGAGUUCAGACCGGUAUAAGCCAGGUCGGUUUCUAUCUUUUAAAAAAAGUUUUACAGUACGAAAGGACCUAAAAAUAUAAUAUAAUUAAUUAAUUAGCAAACAAAUGCAUUAGAAUUAGAAUCUAAAUAAACUURU